CCUACGGUGCGCAGCAGUGGGGAAUAUUGCGCAAUGGGCGAAAGCCUGACGCAGCGACGCCGCGUGAGGGAUGAAGGUCUUCGGAUCGUAAACCUCUGUCAGCAGGGAAGAACGGUCACUGUGCUAAUCAGCAGUGAAUUGACGGUACCUGCAAAGGAAGCACCGGCUAACUCCGUGCCAGCAGCCGCGGUAAUACGGAGGGUGCGCGCGUUAAUCGGAAUUACUGGGCGUAAAGCGCUCGUAGGCGGUAUGUCAAGUCAAGGGUGAAAUCCCCGCGCUCAACGUGGGAACUGCCUUUGAAACUGGCAAACUGGAGUGUGUGAGUGGAUAGUGGAAUUCCAGGUGUAGGAGUGAAGUCCGUAGAUAUCUGGAGGAACAUCAGUGGCGAAGGCGACUAUCUGGCACAUAACUGACGCUGAGGAGCGAAAGCGUGGGUAGCAAACAGGAUUAGAUACCCUUGUAGUC
rnacentral:rRNA from 1 species